UCGUAGGUACCCAGAGGCGGC
rnacentral:sRNA from 1 species